UUUCCGUAGGUGAACCUGCGGAAGGAUCAUUAACACGUAUCCACGUAUCAAAACCACGUUGAACUGUCUGUCUGCUGAGUGUUGGAGCGAAAGGCUAUGUGGUGAGGAACGCAAUGAAUUAUUAUUUAUUGCGUUCUCGUCUUCGUUUUCCAACGGCGGGGGAGCAAAGAGUUUCCUUUGAACUCUUUGCUCCUUUUGGCCGGGGCCUCAGCACGACGCAUCAUCACGGUUUAUUUUUAACCACUAUGAAUUAUUGUACUAACUAUUGAAAAAAACGAAAACACAUUUGUGUUGCGUUUUUUUUUCUUUACGAAAAAUUUUGAACAACUCUUAGCAAUGGAUAUCUUGGUUUCC
rnacentral:misc_RNA from 1 species